rnacentral:rRNA from 1 species
UACGAAGGGGGCUAGCGUUGCUCGGAAUCACUGGGCUUAAAGGGCGCGUAGGCGGCUUGAUAAGCGUGCGGUGAAAGCCCGGGGCUCAACCCCGGGUCGGCCGUGCGAACUGUCGAGCUGGAGCACUGUAGAGGCAGGUGGAAUUCCGGGUGUAGCGGUGGAAUGCGUAGAGAUCCGGAAGAACACCGGUGGCGAAGGCGGCCUGCUGGGCAGUGGCUGACGCUGAGGCGCGACAGCGUGGGGAGCAAACAGG